GAUGAAGAACGCAGCGAAAUGCGAUAAGUAGUGUGAAUUGCAGAAUUCAGUGAAUCAUCGAAUCUUUGAACGCACAUUGCGCCCCUUGGUAUUCCAUGGGGCAUGCCGUUCGAGCGUCAUUUGUACCUUCAAGCUCUGCUUGGUGUUGGGUGUUUGUCUCGCCUCUGCGCGUAGACUCGCCUCAAAACAAUUGGCAGCCGGCGUAUUGAUUUCGGAGCGCAGUACAUCUCGCGCUUUGCACUCAUAACGACGACGUCCAAAAGUACAUUUUUACACUCUUGACCUCGGAUCAGGUAGGGAUACCCGCUGAACUUAAGCAUAUCAAUAAGCGGAGGA
rnacentral:misc_RNA from 1 species